rnacentral:rRNA from 1 species
GCCGGACCUGACUGCUAUCGGAUUGAUACUAAGCCAUGCGAGUCAUUGUAGCAAUACAAGGCAUACGGCUCAGUAACGCGUAGUCAACCUAACCUAUGGACGGGAAUAACCUCGGGAAACUGAGAAUAAUGCCCGAUAGAACAUUAUACCUGGAAUGGUUUAUGUUCCAAAUGAUUUAUCGCCGUAGGAUGGGACUGCGGCCUAUCAGUUUGUUGGUGAGGUAAUGGCCCACCAAGACUAUUACAGGUACGGGCUCUGAGAGGAGUAGCCCGGAGAUGGGUACUGAGACACGGACCCAGGCCCUAUGGGGCGCAGCAGGCGAGAAAACUUUGCAAUGUGCGAAAGCACGACAAGGUUAAUCCGAGUGAUUUCUGCUAAAGAAAUCUUUUGUUAGUCCUAGAAACACUAACGAAUAAGGGGUGGGCAAGUUCUGGUGUCAGCCGCCGCGGUAAAACCAGCACCUCAAGUGGUCAGGAUGAUUAUUGGGCCUAAAGCAUCCGUAGCCGGCUUUGUAAGUUUUCGGUUAAAUCUGUACGCUUAACGUACAGGCCGCCGGGAAUACUGCAAAGCUAGGGAGUGGGAGAAGUAGACGGUACUCGGUAGGAAGUGGUAAAAUGCUUUGAUCUAUCGAUGACCACCUGUGGCGAAGGCGGUCUUCUAGAACACGUCCGACGGUGAGGGAUGAAAGCUGGGGGAGCAAACCGGAUUAGAUACCCGGGUAGUCCCAGCUGUAAACUAUGCAAACUCAGUGAUGCAUUGGCUUGUGGCCAAUGCAGUGCUGCAGGGAAGCCGUUAAGUUUGCCGCCUGGGAAGUACGUACGCAAGUAUGAAACUUAAAGGAAUUGGCGGGGGAGCACCACAAGGGGUGAAGCCUGCGGUUCAAUUGGAUUCAACGCCGGG